rnacentral:tRNA from 1 species
GGCUUAUGUUUCCUCUGGGAAGGAAGGCACACUGUCUAUGUGUCAGUUGAGGGUUCGAAUCCCUUAUAGGUCGCCA